UACAGAGGGUGCAAGCGUUGUUCGGAAUUACUGGGCGUAAAGAGCUCGUAGGUGGUUUGUCGCGUUGUUCGUGAAAUCUCACGGCUUAACUGUGAGCGUGCGGGCGAUACGGGCAGACUGGAGUACUGCAGGGGAGACUGGAAUUCCUGGUGUAGCGGUGGAAUGCGCAGAUAUCAGGAGGAACACCGGUGGCGAAGGCGGGUCUCUGGGCAGUAACUGACGCUGAGGAGCGAAAGCGUGGGGAGCGAACAGG
rnacentral:rRNA from 1 species